CAGUCGCCACGGGAAUACGGAGGGUGCAAGCGUUAAUCGGAAUUACUGGGCGUAAAGCGCGCGCAGGCGGUUUGUUAAGUCAGAUGUGAAAUCCCCGAGCUUAACUUGGGAACUGCAUUUGAAACUGGCAAGCUAGAGUCUUGUAGAGGGGGGUAGAAUUCCAGGUGUAGCGGUGAAAUGCGUAGAGAUCUGGAGGAAUACCGGUGGCGAAGGCGGCCCCCUGGACAAAGGCUGACGCUCAGGUGCGAAAGCGUGGGGAGCAAACAGGAUUAGAUACCCCAGUUAGUCCCUGUCUCUUAUA
rnacentral:rRNA from 1 species